rnacentral:rRNA from 1 species
UACGAAGGGGGGCUAGCGUUGCUCGGAAUCACUGGGCGUAAAGGGUGCGUAGGCGGGUCUUUAAGUCAGGGGGUGAAAUCCUGGAGCUCAACUCCAGAACUGCCUUUGAUACUGAGGAUCUUGAGUUCGGGAGAGGUAAGUGGAAUUCCGAGUGUAGAGGUGAAAUCGUAGAUAUUCGCAAGAACACCAGUGGCGAAGGCGGCUCACUGGCCCGGUACUGACGCUGAGGGCACGAAAAGCGUGGGGGAGCAAACAGG